CCUACGGGAGGCAGCAGUAGGGAAUCUUCCACAAUGGACGAAAGUCUGAUGGAGCAAAGCCGCGUGAGUGAAUAAGGGUUUCGGCUCGUAAAGCCCUGUUGGUAGUGAAGAAAGAUAGAGGUAGUAACUGGCCUUUAUUUGACGGUAAUUACUUAGAAAGUCACGGCUCACUACGUGCCAGCAGCCGCGGUAAUACGUAGGUGGCAAGCGUUGUCCGGAUUUAUUGGGCGUAAAGCGAGUGCAGGCGGUUCAAUAAGUCUGAUGUGAAAGCCUUCGGUUCAACCGGAGAAUUGCAUCAGAAACUGUUGAACUUGAGUGCAGAAGAGGAGGGUGGAACGCGAGGUGUAGCGGUGGAAUGCGUAGAUAUAAGGAAGAACACCAGUGGCGAAGGCGGCUCUCUGGUCUGCAACUGACGCUGAGGCUCGAAAGCAUGGGUAGCGAACAGGAUUAGAUACCCGAGUAGUC
rnacentral:rRNA from 1 species